CGAACGCUGGCGGCGUGCCUAAUACAUGCAAGUCGAGCGGACAGAAGGGAGCUUGCUCCCGGAUGUUAGCGGCGGACGGGUGAGUAACACGUGGGUAACCUGCCUGUAAGACUGGGAUAACUCCGGGAAACCGGAGCUAAUACCGGAUAGUUCCUUGAACCGCAUGGUUCAAGGAUGAAAGACGGUUUCGGCUGUCACUUACAGAUGGACCCGCGGCGCAUUAGCUAGUUGGUGAGGUAACGGCUCACCAAGGCGACGAUGCGUAGCCGACCUGAGAGGGUGAUCGGCCACACUGGGACUGAGACACGGCCCAGACUCCUACGGGAGGCAGCAGUAGGGAAUCUUCCGCAAUGGACGAAAGUCUGACGGAGCAACGCCGCGUGAGUGAUGAAGGUUUUCGGAUCGUAAAGCUCUGUUGUUAGGGAAGAACAAGUGCAAGAGUAACUGCUUGCACCUUGACGGUACCUAACCAGAAAGCCACGGCUAACUACGUGCCAGCAGCCGCGGUAAUACGUAGGUGGCAAGCGUUGUCCGGAAUUAUUGGGCGUAAAGGGCUCGCAGGCGGUUUCUUAAGUCUGAUGUGAAAGCCCCCGGCUCAACCGGGGAGGGUCAUUGGAAACUGGGAAACUUGAGUGCAGAAGAGGAGAGUGGAAUUCCACGUGUAGCGGUGAAAUGCGUAGAGAUGUGGAGGAACACCAGUGGCGAAGGCGACUCUCUGGUCUGUAACUGACGCUGAGGAGCGAAAGCGUGGGGAGCGAACAGGAUUAGAUACCCUGGUAGUCCACGCCGUAAACGAUGAGUGCUAAGUGUUAGGGGGUUUCCGCCCCUUAGUGCUGCAGCUAACGCAUUAAGCACUCCGCCUGGGGAGUACGGUCGCAAGACUGAAACUCAAAGGAAUUGACGGGGGCCCGCACAAGCGGUGGAGCAUGUGGUUUAAUUCGAAGCAACGCGAAGAACCUUACCAGGUCUUGACAUCCUCUGACAACCCUAGAGAUAGGGCUUUCCCUUCGGGGACAGAGUGACAGGUGGUGCAUGGUUGUCGUCAGCUCGUGUCGUGAGAUGUUGGGUUAAGUCCCGCAACGAGCGCAACCCUUGAUCUUAGUUGCCAGCAUUCAGUUGGGCACUCUAAGGUGACUGCCGGUGACAAACCGGAGGAAGGUGGGGAUGACGUCAAAUCAUCAUGCCCCUUAUGACCUGGGCUACACACGUGCUACAAUGGACAGAACAAAGGGCUGCGAGACCGCAAGGUUUAGCCAAUCCCACAAAUCUGUUCUCAGUUCGGAUCGCAGUCUGCAACUCGACUGCGUGAAGCUGGAAUCGCUAGUAAUCGCGGAUCAGCAUGCCGCGGUGGAUACGUUCCCGGGCCUUGUACACACCGCCCGUCACACCACGAGAGUUUGCAACACCCGAAGUCGGUGAGGUAACCUUUAUGGAGCCAGCCGCCGAAGUGGGGCAGAUGAUUGGGGUGA
rnacentral:rRNA from 1 species